AUGCGCUUGGGCUCCCUGGUGAAAAAGCAAAAUAUAAAAUUCGAUUCAAACUGUGAUUACAUCUAUGGAAAAUACAGCCUUUGCCGACCACCCUCUUUGUCCCGCCGCCCUCCGUGCUCCCCUCUGUUUUGUGUACGGAGUUUCUUACUUUGUACAAGUCCGCAGCCGCUUAAGUUACAGCCCCGAGGCCAGAUGCGUUUAAAAUCGAGGAGUUCUCGGAGUUUGGAAAGUUCGUUCCCACAUGCAGGGCAGCACAAGGAGAAUGGGCGUCAUGACUGAUGUCCACCGGCGCUUCCUCCAGUUGCUGAUGACCCAUGGCGUGCUAGAGGAAUGGGACGUGAAGCGCUUGCAGAGGCACUGCUACAAGGUCCAUGACCGUAUGUCCUUCAUCUCUCUGACCUCUGAGAAAGAGAAGCAGCGAUCCUUUCUGGCUCGCCUCCGCAUUGGUUGCUGAGGGUCUGCUGAGAGGCAAUGCCACCGUAGAUAAGUUGGAAGACUUCAUCAACAACAUUAACAGUGUAUUGGAGUCCUUGUAUAUUGAGAUAAAGAGAG
rnacentral:sRNA from 1 species